GGUAGUCCUAGCAGUAAACGAUGGCCACUAGGUGUGGGGGGUGUUGACCCCUUCCGUGCCGUAGCUAACGCAUUAAGUGGCCCGCCUGGGGAGUACGGUCGCAAGACUAAAACUCAAAGGAAUUGACGGGACCCGCACAAGCAGCGGAGCGUGUGGUUUAAUUCGAUGCAACGCGAAGAACCUUACCUGGGCUUGACAUGCCCGAAGUAGAACCCGGAAACGGAACGACUCGUCAAGGCGAGAACGGGCACAGAUGCUGCAUGGCUGUCGUCAGCUCGUGCCGUGAGGUGUUGGGUUAAG
rnacentral:rRNA from 1 species